AAACUUCCUUAUAGUAUCACCAGGUGGCGAUGCUUUCACUGUUUCAGUACUCCCAUAAAUUUUAUAAAUUUUUGUCCGUGUUUAGUUUUAAGAAAAUUAGCAAAUUGUAACUAUUCAGUUUACAAAGUUUUAUUUCAAACUUUUGCAUAAAAUGAUUUAAAAGUAAUUGAAAUUGACUGUAUAUAAAAUAGUGUGUAACAGAAUCAUUUGCGUAUAAUAGAAUUCCUAUUAUUGGAAUGUUAAUAUGCAUGUUAAAACUUGAAAGAUUAAUUUUUGGAGGUUAAUGAAUUUUUAUUAAACAUCUGAAUGAUAUAACAGUGAGGGAAAAGAGAAAUUUCGUUAAUUUGCAGUAAAAUAGAUUGGUGAGAUCGGGCCACGGACGUAUUCGACAGGAUUGGACCAGCCUCUGACGUCAUUGCGUGGACCGACGUAUCUCGUCGACGAUUGUCGAAAGCAUGCUGUUCUUGCGCUUCUAUAUAUCCACCUACAGCAAUCAGCGGCAAAUUCAAACACACGAUAAAGAGCUGCUGUGUUUCUAAUACUGCUCGUAAGAACAUAAAAUACCCGAAAGAGAACAAUAAUCGACCUCGCUCAAGAUGAAUGACAUCGAAGUCUGCGUAAGCGGCUACGUGCUCCGAUGUUGAGGAACAUCAGCAAGGGCGCUAGCCGCAGAAAACAGUAGAGGUUAGGUACGGCCAGGACGGUACGUUCCAGGCAGUGGAGAGAAGAGUACCCGGAGAGAGCACCCGGGCCGGGUAGGUAGGUAGAUAUACAUAGGUAGGUAGAGCGCAGAGGCAGACGAGAAGAGACGACCGCUUGAAAUCCCUUUCUCCUUCCCGCCUUUCCUGCCUGCUUCUCUCUACCGCCCGUCCGCCAUGCCACUACGAGCGAGCGAACGUACAGCUAGGCCGGCACAGUCCUGUAGCCCAUUUGGCAUUUCCCCAGCUAUAGCGGCGGUCCUGUAGCCCAUCGUUGUUAUCGUCCCGCAGCUGCAUAAAGUCGGCUCUACCUCCCCUUACCCCUCUGACCCUCUCCCAUGCUGUCGACCAACCACCCGUCCACUCCCCUCCUCAUUCUGUUUCGCUCACCUCGCUGCUCGACAUCAACGUUUCUUCCUCUAUCUCUCUCUCUUUCUCUCUCUUCCCUUCUCUCUCUCUAUUCUUCCUUCUCUCACCAGCCUGCCGACCUGAUCGUGUUGCCCUCCUUCCUCCCCCCAGUCGUACCGACGCUUCGACCAAUCCCCUUCCUUGUCGCCCCAUGAGCUCUCGUUGUCCGCCGUUCACUUCUCUCUCCCACGAGCCUGCCAGCCUGACGUUUCCCCCACUAUGUUCCUACUACCACCAACGUAUCCUUAUUCUACAUCGUUACCACUAACUCGCACACAGAUAUACCAUCAGCAGCAUUGGUACCACGUUUCUACAGCGACGCAACGGUGGCGCCGCCAGACAGGGACGCCUCGAAACGUUUUUACCCUCCCCCCUCUCUCUCCGCCCGUCUGAUCCAACUCCAUAUACCGCCGACGACGCCUGAUGCUGCUGUGCUGCGGUAUAUACUCGCGCACCGUCCUUGUCGUUCUAUCGAUUCCCUCCCUUCCUCCUUCCUCUCUUACCCAACCCCUUCUCAUCCUACUCGUCAUGUGCCCCCUCUUUCGCUUUUCUCUCUGCGUCUCACUGGCAGCCAACUUGCCUGUCUGCUUGCCUGGCUUGCCUGACUGCCUUGCUCGUUUACUUACUUGCUUGCAUGCUAGUCUGCCUGCUAGGUUGCUAGCCUGCUUGCUUGGCCCGCUUGCUUCGUUCAACCUCUGCGUCGGUAACCUUGGUGGAGAAUAACCCGCCGUUCAAUUCAAGGAAUUAUGACGGCCUCUCGAUUUUUUCUUUUUCUAUUUGCUAGCCCCUCUUUUUCGUUCUUUGU